rnacentral:RNase_P_RNA from 1 species
UGCUAUGCAGAGGAAAGUCCGGGCAGCACAGGGUACGGUAGUCGCUAACAGCGACCGUCCGCAAGGAUAGGGAAAGUACCACAGAGACAAAACCGCUUUUGUUUUAUGAUGAAAGCAAGGGUGAAAAGAGUGGGGUAAGAGCCCACAGCGGUGUGUAGCGAUGCGCACUGGAGGCAAACCCUACUGGCUGCAAGGAGUGCUAUUCACCUCGACCCGAGGAUGCACGUUCACCGCUAGAGUCCUGGAGCAAUCUAGGAUCCAGAUAGAUGAUUACCCAUCUAAGGUUUCGGCCGAAGAUGACAAAACCCGGCUUACUG